UUUAUGAGGUCAGCAAAUUCUUGAUUCCAAAAUCUGACAAGGAUAUCAAGAGAAUGAGAAUCAGCAGACAACCUCUAUCAUAAUCAUAGAUGAAAAAUCCUAACCAAUAUAUUAGCAAACUGAAUCAAGCUAUAUGUGAAAAGAAUAAUUUAAGUGUCGUGACCAAGUGAAGUUUAAUUCCAAGAGAAGCUCCUCAAGGCUGCCCCCAGUUCCUGGGCACACGGUCUUUCUCAACGCGGCCACCUGCUUCACUAAGCCAGCAAAGACCCCCUGGAGCGGUACGCCAACAAGAUGGAGGCUCCCAUGACAUCACACAUCAUGGGCGUGGCCUGCAUCUCUUCGGUUUGUCCUCUUGCGGAGAAGAGAGCCUCGCAGCCUUGAUGAACUGCCUCAAGUUCUUGCUGUUGCUGGAUCGGGUCCUCACUGAGAACGGAAACUGUGAUUACAUAGCAAAAAAUGAGAUGUUUCAAAAUAAUUUUAAAUCAAUAUUUCUCUGGCUCAACAACUGAGAAAUGGCAUCUAAUAUGCAUGCUGCUGAAGUGGGGCUGGCAGUCAAGGUAAGCUCACCAGAACCCAGUCAAGUAAAGGUGGAGAAUAACUAUCCCGAGCUUUGGGUGCCACAGACACAAAAGACAACUGUUGCCUCUGAUCUGUAGCAGAAGGUGGAUUAAAAUGGUCCUGGAAGGUUCUACUUGGACAUAAGAGUAAACCCACAGUGAACUCUGAUGACUGCAUAGAAAGUCUUGUCAAUCUUGGCCUGAAGAUAUGGAUCAGUGCUAAAAACAAAAAGCCACAUGAGCUCCUGAUAGAAAAUAAUUCUAUCACAAAGGCAAGACUUUGACAGCACCACCUUCUAUUUUGCUUAAUCAUAAAAUCAUCAAUUCCAGAAAAACGGAGUCAAUCAACAUAUUAAAGUGGAAUCUGAAAAACAAAACAAAUGAACAGACACAGAAAACCAAAAAGACAGAUAUAGGAAGCAAACUUGUGGUUGCCAGAGGGAAGAGGUAGGGGAAUGGGUGAAACAGGAAAAGGAGAUUAAGAGGUACAAACCUUUAGUUUUAAAUAAGUGAGUCACUGGGUUGAAAAGGACAGCAUAGGGAAUAUAGUCAACAAUAUUGUAAUAAUGUUGUAUAGU